rfam:Dipodomys ordii contig_71191, whole genome shotgun sequence.
GGUGGUUCAGUGGUAGAGUGCUUGCCUUGCAUGCAUGAAGCCCUGGGUUCGAUUCCUCAGCACCA